UGCGNNUGGGCGAAGCCUGACGCAGCGACGCCGCGUGGGGGAUGAAGCUUCUCGGAGUGUAAACCCCUUUCGACCCGGACGAAACCCCGCAAGGGAUUGACGGUACGGGUAUAAGAAGCCCCGGCUAACUACGUGCCAGCAGCCGCGGUAAAACGUAGGGGGCCAGCGUUGCUCGGAAUUACUGGGCGUAAAGGGUCCGUAGGCGGUGUGGCAAGUCGGUAGUGAAAUCUCUCGGCUUAACUGAGAGGCUGCUGCCGAAACUGCCAUGCUCGAGUGUGAGAGAGGCGAGUGGAAUUACGGGUGUAGCGGUGAAAUGCGUAGAUAUCCGUAGGAACAUCCGAGGCGAAAGCGGCUCGCUGGAUCACAACUGACGCUGAGGGACGAAAGCUAGGGGAGCAAACAGGAUUAGAUACCCUGGUAGUCCUAGCCCUAAACCAUCAGGACUUGGGGUUUGCCCUGUACGGGGCAAGUCCCGGAGCUAACGCGUUAAGUCCUGCGCCUGGGGAGUACGGUCGCAAGGCUGAAACUCAAAAAAAUUGACGGA
rnacentral:rRNA from 1 species